rnacentral:rRNA from 1 species
GAGUUUGAUCCUGGCUCAGAUUGAACGCUGGCGGAAUGCUUUACACAUGCAAGUCGAGCGGCAGCGCGGGAGGGGUAACCUGACUGGCGGCGAGCGGCGAACGGGUGAGUAAUGCAUCGGAACGUACCUAGUCGUGGGGGAUAACGUGGCGAAAGUCACGCUAAUACCGCAUACGUCCUGAGGGAGAAAGCAGGGGAUCGCAAGACCUUGCGCGAUUGGAGCGGCCGAUGUCUGAUUAGCUAGUUGGUGGGGUAAAGGCCUACCAAGGCGACGAUCAGUAGCUGGUCUGAGAGGACGAUCAGCCACACUGGGACUGAGACACGGCCCAGACUCCUACGGGAGGCAGCAGUGGGGAAUUUUGGACAAUGGGCGAAAGCCUGAUCCAGCCAUUCCGCGUGAGUGAAGAAGGCCUUCGGGUUGUAAAGCUCUUUCGGCAGGAACGAAACGGCAGUCUCUAAUACAGGCUGUUAAUGACGGUACCUGAAGAAGAAGCACCGGCUAACUACGUGCCAGCAGCCGCGGUAAUCUAUUCCU